rnacentral:rRNA from 1 species
UACGAAGGGGGCGAGCGUUGUUCGGAAUUACUGGGCGUAAAGGGCGCGCAGGCGGUCCUUCAAGUCAGAUGUGAAAGCCCCGGGCUCAACCUGGGAACUGCAUUUGAGACUGGAGGACUUGAGGACGGGAGAGGAGAGUGGAAUUCCCAGUGUAGAGGUGAAAUUCGUAGAUAUUCGGAAGAACACCAGUGGCGAAGGCGGCUCACUGGACUGGUAUUGACGCUGAGGUGCGAAAGCGUGGGGAGCAAACAGG